rnacentral:misc_RNA from 1 species
GUCGUAACAAGGUUUCCGUAGGUGAACCUGCGGAAGGAUCAUUAAAAAAUUGGACUCCAUUGGUGAGUUCAUUAAUAAUCCCUACCCUUUGUGAAUUUGUUUGUUUGAAUAAUUUUUUUUCCAAAAAAAAAUUAUUGAAUGUCUUCCCUGUUUUGGUGGAGCUUGUAAAGUGAAACCAGGCAGGGGAAUGGCAAACAAUAAUUAUUUUUUGAAAAAAGACCUUUUUUAAAAUUAAACUUUUUGUAUUCAUUUGUCUAAAGUUAUUUUUAUAAUAUAAAAACAACUUUUGACAAUGGAUCUCUUGGUUCUCGCAACGAUGAAGAACGCAGCAAAAUGCGAUAAGUAGUGUGAAUUGCAGAAUACGUGAAUCAUCGAAUCUUCGAACGCAUAUUGCACUUUUUAGUUUACUAAAAAAGUAUGUCUGUUUGAGUAUCAGUAAAAUAUUCUCAUAAAAAACAUUGUUUUUUUAUGGUUAUGGGUGUUUUACAACGAUAACAAGUUGUUUCACUUUAAAUUCUUUGUUAUCAAAAAAAUCAUUAAAAGCUAAUUUUAAAGAUUUUUUAAAAUUGGAUAAAAUUUUCCCGUAAAAAGGAAUAACCUAAACAAUUUUAAAAAAUUAAAAUUGGUUUGAUUUCUUUUGAAACCCAAAGGAAAAAAAAACGAAAUUAACUUGAUCUCAAAUCAGAUAAGAGUACCCGCUGAACUUAAGCAUAUCAAUAAGCGGAGGAAAAGAAACUAACUAGGAUUCCCUCAGUAACGGCGAGUGAAGCGGGAAGAGCUCAAAUUUGAAAUCUUCAAGGUUUUACCUUGACGAAUUGUAGUUUAAAGAAGUGUUUUCUGUUGGAGUUUUGGUAAAAGUUCUUUGGAAAAGGACAUCAUAGAGGGUGAGAAUCCCGUAUUUGACCAUUAUCUCCAGCUUUGUGAUACACUUUCAAAGAGUCGGAUUGUUUGGGAAUGCAGUCCAAAAUGGGUGGUAAAUUUCAUCUAAAGCUAAAUACUGGCGAGGGACCGAUAGCGAACAAGUACCGUGAGGGAAAGAUGAAAAGAACUUUGAAAAGAGAGUUAAACAGUACGUGAAAUUGUCAAAAGGGAAGCGUUUGACACCAGUGUUGUUUUCUCGAAAAUCAAUUAAAAAAGGCCGGAUUUUGUGUUGUAUUGACUUUAUCAGCUUUCUGCACUUUUUUCUUGUCUUUUUUAAUGCACUUUUCGUUUAACAAGUCAACAUCAAUUUCUUUUGUUGUAAAAGGGUCAUUGGAAGGUGGCUUUCUUUUCGGAGAAAGUGUUUAUAGCCUUUGGCCUCUGCAAUCGGAGAGAUUGAGGUCUGCAGCGUAGAUCCUUCGGGGUUAGAUACAUUUGUGCUAAGUUAUAGCCUUUCAUAGACAACUUGUUGACUAUGAUCAGUCAUGUAGUUUACUCGCUUGUGCUAUUUUACCUACGCUUAGGAUGUUGA